rnacentral:lncRNA from 1 species
CUGAAAAUUGUGAUUGGGACAUGACUCUUCGAAGUCUCGUGAGGUACAUAUUUCUUGUCACUUUAAAUUUUAAAAACACAAGAAAUCAACAUCAUGUGCAAGUCUUUUUAGAACUCCUAUAGUGUGCGUCCCCUAUCCCUGUACUAACAUCAUUAUCCUACGUCUAGUGAUUAUGUACACAACAUUCAGUAUUCUUCCCAGCACAUUCCACUACAACCAUGGGAAUUUGAUAGUUGGACUAGUCUAGAAUCAUUUCUAGAUUGGCUCGAUAACUUGGAAAAAUUCUUCAAAUACCACCAUUUGAGUGACUCACGUCGAAUUGUCUAUACUAAUAGAUCACUUAUAGGUUCAACUAGGAGUAAUUGGAAAUUGUUUACACGUAAUCGUCUUGGUCAACACUCAAUCACUGCGUGGAAUGAAACGAAAUGAAUCUAAGCAACAAAUAUUCCCCUGUGUAUUAUAGAACUCAAUUGUUAAAUCAAUAUUUUUUACCCUAUAGGCAAGGUACAUCCACUGUUAGUGAGUAUCUGUCACGUUUCAAAUUCAUAUCAAUAUUCACGUAUUUCAAACCAUUUAAUCUUCUCAAUACCAUUUAAACCUCUCAACUACCUACAAACCACAAAAGCAUUUAUCUCCCACCAAACCCACUGAAAAAGCAUUUCAUCUACCUACAAAAUUAUCUACUUACCACCAAAGCCAUUGAAAACACGAAAAAAGCAUUUCAUCUACCUACAAAAUCAUCUAUCUACCACCAAAGCCAUUCAAAACACUAUUUUCAAUUUAACCAGUAUUCAUUUAGCAACUUGGUAUUUCCUAACCUAUCCAAAUCAUACAAAAGUCCGCCACUACCGUCAUCGAAGUAAUAAAUGCCGAAAAAGGUAAUUUACAUGUUUACAUUUAACGUUAGAAAGAUAUCAGUUCAUAGACAUGAAUCUCCAUGCACUGCAGAGAUCGCAUUCCAGCCUGCGCCAAAACAUGCAUCUCUCGGCAGUGGGAGAAUUUAGCAUAUUUUUGUUUCAUAUCUUUUUUGUUAAAUAAACAGUAUAAAUAAAUUAUUCCUUCUAUAAAUAACAAUUUAUUUUUGCUUAAAAAAAAUCCAUCAUUUUUUUUAAGUUUUAAAAUAAUAAACAAGAAAAUGAAUAUAUUCAGUCCGCACAGUGCAGUGUGCCUAAACACUCUGCAUAGCACAGAGUGUUUUCCCAAACACUAUGCUGUACGGAGUGUUUCCCCAAACACUCCCUCCCUCCGAGCGCCCAAACACUCCAUUACAUGUUUUACAGCAUUUUGUUCUCUUUCAUUUACAUUUUUUUUUAAUAAUUUCAUUUAACCUACAAAAGCAACAUAAAAAUCAUAUAAUAAAUCGUCCAUAAUUGAUAAAAAUUAGCUCAUUAAAAAACUCAAAUGAUAUUUUUGUAGAGUUGUAGUACAUGAGAUAUCAUUCAUCGUAAUGGGGAUCUUUUGCUAGCUUCUAUUUUUAAAUUUAUUUAUGAAGAUUAAGCUAGAUUUGUAUAUAAAAAAAUUUUAUGAUUAAAGAAUGGUUUUUUUGAUAAUUUUUGUAGAUGUCGUUACAAUACAUAUUGUCUCCAAAUCAAUGGUUCUCUGCUAUUAUUAGUCAAUUUACAAAUCAUCAAUAUCUUAAAGAUUUUGUAGAACUUAUAGAUGCAGAUGAUCAGGCCUCUUUAUUGUGCAGUCACUUUCAUGUAUUUAUUUAUGGAAGUAUGUAUAAGGCACAAAAAUAAAAAUUUAGUAGUAAAUUGAUACACGAGUUUAUAAUGAGACUUAUUGACUGUGGUAAAAAUAAUGAAGUUUGGUGCGAUCAGAUAAUCGUGUGGCCCGUUUUGGCAUGCAAUAAUUUUGUCUAAUCAUUGGAUUACCAUGCCAUAAAGUUAUUGUUAAUCUCGAUUUUAGUAAUACUCGACUUAGGGAUGAGUACUUCAAUGGUACAAAAAAGAAUUACUAUGAAAAGACUUUCUGAAGGAUUCCACAUAUGUCAAGAUCUAGAAGAUAAAUUUAAGUUGCGAUUAGUUAUAUCCGUGGAAUGUAUUUUGAAACCAACUAGAAGGUACAUCGAUUAUAGAACUCUUAGAAUGGUUGAACAAUUUGAUGAGUUUCUUAUGUAUCCAUGGGGCCGCAAGACAUAUUUUAUUUUAUUAAAUUCAUUGCAAGAAUCAUAGCUCGAAAGAGUAUAAAAGGUACAAUAAAAUAACCAAACAGAUUAUAAAUAUUCCUCAAAAGGUUAUCCAUUUGCAUUUCAGGUAUUUUUCUUUUAUUUUUAUUUUUUGCUUAUUAUGUAUAAUCUAAUUGUAUAAAAAAAUUAAUAUUUAUUUUUACUUAUAUUGCAGUAUUGGAUAUAUGAAGCUUUUUCUCAAAUUAGAAAAUAAUUUGGACGUAAUACACAUAGAAAAUGCAAUAUCCAUGAAUGCAUAAAUGGAAUCCAAAAAUAGUAUUAACAGAACAAAUCAUUAAACAAUUUCUGGCUACUCAAGAGGUAUGAUUUAUUUAAAUCUACAAUUAAAUGUGUAUUUAAUUAUUUAUAAACGAAUUUAAAAAAAUAAAUCUAAUAUUUUAUUACAAUUAUAGAUUGAAGUAAUUGCAGUACUGCAUCCUACUGAAGAAGAAUUGAAAACAUUCUGGUAUACAAAUCAUUGACAACCAACAUUGUAUACCUGAUGGCAUUGUCAAUGGCGAAUUUGAAAAUGUAACACAAUAGAUUCCUAUUGAUAACAUACAUAUGCAAGAAACAAUUGUUGGCACUUCAGUUGGAAUUGGAUCUAUUUCUUCUGGUGGUUCAAACUAUGUAACUAAAGAAGAUAUGGACCAAACAUUCAAUAUUUAUAGACAACAUGUAGUGUCAAAUGUAUCUGGUUUGUAUGAUAGCUUAAAAACACAAAUGGUUGAAAAAUCGAGAAAAUAAGAAGCACGCUAUAUCAUGCAAUUCUUGAAAAUCCAAAAGCUCACUACCAGACGAUUCUUGACAACUAGAAACAAUAUUUGAAUAUCAGCAAAAAGGCCAAUAAGGCUACUUCCAAGGUAUGCAAUCUUAUGUGGAUACCAAUUUCAGUUCAACGAAAUCGUACAUUGAUGAACAAAAUUAGAAUAUGCUGAAUCAAUUGUCUGACUGGAAAUCAUACAUGGAAACAAUUGUAGGCUCUAUACAACGAGAUGUUCCUGCCUAUACAAGUUCAAUUGAAUUCGAAAACCCUUCAACAUCUGAACAUAUUGAAAAUGUUGAAAGGUUGACGAAAAAAAGGAGGUAAGAAAAAACAAACACAAUCUCCAUCAACAGUGCUGACUAAUACUUUAAAAGAAACUAUAACAACAACAAGUACGAAAAAAUUAGAGAUUUGAUAUUACAAAAUCCAUCAGGAUGGGAGAUCCAAUAUUACUUUAUUAGCUUAAAUAUUAUAAUUUAUAUUUUAUUCAUUUAACACCAAUUUAAAUUUUCUUAUAUAGUACGUAUUGGGAUGAUGGAGCCGGCAAUCUCUACGAAAGACAAAUGCUAAGAGAUAUAAUUUAUCAAACGAAAGAUAUAAAUAUUAUAGUAAGUAAAAUUUAGUAAUCAUAAUUCAUUUUAUUCCAUUAUUAAUAUAUAUAAUUUACACUUUUUUUUAUUAGAAUAUUGAUACAGAAUUAAAGCUAUUGAGGAGGCUUAUUAACGGCGAUUCUCCCCCCGUUUCUAAAGAAUAUGCAAUCAUGGACCAUAGAUUCGAAACUGAAUGUGUUCAUUGGCAAAUGAAUAUGCAAGAAGGAAUUGGCAAUCUGCAACUAAUUUGAACAUAUUACAACAGUACAUAAAUGGAAAAUUGUCAUUAUCUCCUCAUCUGUGGAUAACAUGUAACUAUUUAUUAAUUCCAUUUGCAUAUCUAGGCAACACUUGAUUUCUUUUUCUUGUUGAUUUUCGAGAAUGGAAAUUUCAUAUAUAUGAUUACAACAACAGCAUUCAUACAUCGAAACAAAUGAGGGCACAUGCAAGACCAAUAUUGACUGUAGUAGAAUCAUUAUUAGUAUGUGCAGACAUUUUCUCUAGCAAACCAAGUUUAAGAAAGUAUAGAAAUAAACAUAUGAAUUUGAAAAUCAUACCGUAUCUACCUUGUCAAAAUAAUGGGUAAGCAUCUCAACAGUUUACUAUAAUAUUUAAUUUUCUAUUUAAAAUAUUAAUAUAAUCUAACUUCAAACUAUUUUUUCUAUAGGCCAAAUUGUGGAGUUUUCUUCUCAAAUACAUAGAAUGCUUCAUUUUCAAAUAUCCAUUAGAAUCGAUUUCACUAGAGAAGAUGAGUUUAUACAGAUGGAAGAUUGCAACAGAUAUCUUGAAUAUUUUUUACCUCUCCGUUUGUCCCGAUUUCAAUGUAUUAUCAAAGUAUAGUAAGAUUAUUUUCAAAUGCCAACAUAUUUACCACAUUGAGCAUGCGUUGAAUGAUAAUAACAACUACAUGAUUAUUAUCACUAAACCACAGCUUGCAUUCACUACUUUAAUACUAUUCAACACAGUUUCUAAGAUGAGUUAUAAGUAUUUCUUCAUUAUGUACGAAUAUACUAAAACUUAUAAAUAUCUAAAUCAUCAUUGUAUUGUUGCCUACAAUAACUUAACGUAUAUUCUAUUACAAUAAAUAAUCUUAUUACCUCUGCUUCACAGGCAAGCAAUGAAGACAUUGAAUUUCACUCUUCAAAAAUACCCAAAUAGUUAAAAAAGCUACCCAUAGCAGUUGUAAGGUAAGGCUAUUCUCAUUACAAUAUAUCCAUCACCUACAAUGCUGUAGGUAAGGCUACAAUGCUUAUAUUAAAGUAUAUUAUGGUCUCUCACCCAGAGAUACGUGAAGGCAAAUGAGGGAACCCCAUGCUAGCACAGAAAAUAACUCAUCAAAGAAAUUUAUACCAUAAUUGGGGGCCUUCAUGUUGGGGAAGAUUCCAAAAAUACCCAAAGGAAUUAUACAAGAAAGGCCAAGGAUCCCCCCAUGACGAGCUAUUUGGUAAACAACAAUCCUGGCGAGACACACACCACUCCAACAAUCACUUUCAUGCAUAAAGGUACCAUUGGUGUCCAUUACCCGCACUGUGACGCCCUCAUUAAGUUAUGCCAUUUUGAGUAGGGAAGAAUCCAAAAAUUCAAUGCAGCAAUACUUAAACUUAAUGCAUAGUCAAAUACAAUGUUUAUAAAUUGUAGUCGACAUGCAAUGUAUAUAAAACUAGACGAAACAGACAUUUAAACAUUUCUUUAAAAGUGUCAUCUAGUUAUUCAAAAUAGGUUUACACGAACUAGAAAUUUUACUAGAAAGUUGAAAACUUUUCAAAUCCCUGAGCACUUACCACUAUGCCAAAUCACUGUCAUGCCUUGAAUCAACCUGUAAGAUUUUUAGUAGGGAUGAGCAACUACAAGUAAUGCUCAGUAGGAAAGCACUAAAGUAAAUGGUAAAAAUUUAAAUUUAUUUUCAGAAAUACAAACUUUGGUCAUUUGUGUCACCACCAAUCUCUUCAUCUCUUAUUUGAACAACCAAACUUUGGUCAUUUGUGUCACCACCUAUCUCUUCAUCUCAUAUUUGAACAACCAAAUGGUGCUUCCUUUAUGAGUAACACAAUAACACAAAUGUAAACUUUCGUUAUUAGAGUCAUUUUCAAUCUCUCUCUUAUUUGAACCACCAAAUGGUACUUUCAUCAUGAGUAACACAAUAACACAUUUAAUACAAAUCGAAAAAAUAUAAUUCUUACAUCACUUACAAAAGUGUCAAAAGCACCCCUACCUUAACGCUUGGAAUUUGAAUAUCCUUUCAUGUCCAAUAAGUAAUAAAAUGCAGCGUACUUUUACCCUCUUCUUCAGAAAAUUUUAGCUUUAAAGGUUCAAAAUAAUUUUUAUGUAGAGAUAUAAUAGUUUGAGAGAGAAAAUAUGAUUAUAGAGGUUGUAGGAGAUGAUUUUUUUAUUUUAUUAUUAUUAUUUUUUUUUUGGAGUUUCUAACAAGGUGUACGUGUAUCAGUUUGUAAGAAAUGAAGUUUUGUGUUCUAAGAUAAAACUUUAACCUAAACAUAUAUAAAUUUCUAACACAACUGUAACUCCUAAGUAAAUUCAAAUGGCUCUUCGGUUUAAUCAUUUGAUUUCAAACAUAAGAUGUAAAUUAAUAAUUCUCAUACCACAUACACGUAACUUACAUAAUUUUAAAAGGAAAUCAUGUUAAUAAGAAUUAAUGAAAUUAAUCACUAUUAGUUAAUAAAUUUUAAAUAAAUUAAAAGGGCCAUUUCAUAACUGUAUAAAACUCCCAUUCUAGAAAAACAAGCCAUUUUAUAUUAUAUUUUUAAUUAUAUUAAUCAAAUAGUGGAAGAUAACACUUUGCCUUUUAUUAGAAUUAGUUGAAUAUAACUAGUUCAAAAUCAUUUUAUCUUGAGCCCAAAUUACUUUAUUUAAUAUGGGCUAUAAAAUGAUUGUAAUAUUGAUAUAUUUUCAUCAACUCCAAAAAUACUUAAAUAUUCGAUCCAAAUAGUUUAUGAUAAAUUCUAAAAGUGCAAGUAAGCAAAUAAAUCACUUAUGGAAUUUGCUACUUCAACCUUUGGACUUUUAGUGUAACGGUAACUCUAGACAUUUUCAUUUGCUAAAUGAUCAAUAUUAAGUUUAGGGUAGCGACAUAAUAAAUACCCGGAGCAAGUGAAGUUACUGCAGAAUUGCUUAGACUUGCUUGACUAGACUAGUUGGACUUAGCGAAUUUACCCCCUGAAGCUUUGUCUGCCCCCCUGUUUACCCCAUAUCCCCGCUGCGUCGGCGUCCAGGAAGUAAACUCAAAACGAAAAUAAAACAACUUAUUAAUGCUUUGGCCGCUGAAGAGGAAGAACAAGAGUCUGGUUGCUUCAUGACUACUUCCCCUACCACUGUUAAAUAACACCCUCUUCCCUUAGUAUAGUAAGCUGGCGGGCUUCUUCCUUCACUGAAGAAGGUGACUAAGACGUGUGGCCGAUUCCAAUAGCAAGUAGACGGGGCGACUAUUAUGCCUAUUUAAAUCUUCCGAUUGUGAUAGGAUUCCAUUUCCUCCUUCUAUGAAUUUCGUGCUUACUUCUUUGCCGAAACUUCAAGGUCAAUAAAGCCUUGCAAGAAAAUUUUAUCUUAAAAUGACACAAGAUAUAUAUUUUUUUCUCAGUCGCUACACCAAAAGCUCAAUAAUAUGAAGUGUAAUUGGAAGUCUUAUGUAUGCAGCAUAAUGUACAAAACUUGAUGUAGCAUUUGCCGUGAGUAAACUAAGUAGGUUUACGAACAAUUCAAAUUCUGAACAUUAGAAGGCUAUCAAAAGGGUUCUUGGUUACCUAAAGAAAACUAAAAACCUUGGGUUACAAUAUACAAAAUUCCCUGAAUUUUGGAAGGAUAUAGUGACGCUAGUUGGAUAUUGAGUGUGGGAGAAAAUAAGUCCACUUUAGGUUGGGUAUUCAGACUUGGAGGAGGUGCAGUUUUUUGGAAGUCCAAGGAACAAACAUCCAUUACCCAAUCAACAAUGGAGUCGAAAUUUAUAGCAUUAGUCGAAACUGGAAAAGAAGCUAAGUGGCUAAGAGAUCUAUUAUAUAAAAUACCUUUAAAUAUAAAGGAUAUUUCUUCAAUAUCUAUCUUGUGUGAUAGUCAAGCUACUCUUACUCGAACAUAUAAUGAAGUAUAUAAUGGAAAGUAUAGACACAUGAGUCUAAGACACGAGUAUGUAAGGAAAUUAAUUAAACAUGGAAUAAUUUCUCUUACACAUGUUAAGUCUAGUGAGAACUUAGUUGAUCCAUUUACUAAACCUCUCUCAAGAGAAUUAGUAAGAUUGACAUCAAGUAGGAUGGUGUUGAAAGUCCUAAAUUAAAUCUCCCAAUGAUAACAACCCUAUCGAAAGUAUACCAAAAAAGUAUAUUUAGGUUCAAGGGGUAAUAACAAGUCAUUUAAUAAACCCUAUCUUUCGUAAAUAGUGUUGGUUGUUACUGUUGGAGGGAUGAGUUAUAAUUAAAAACUCUUAAUAAAGUUCCGUACGGGGUACAAAUAUCUCUAAAAGUAAUAAAGAUACUAGAAGAACUUCACCUAUGUAAACUUUGAGGCAGUGUCGCCUCAUUAGAGAGUUUGAGUUUUCUCUCCUUAAAAUUUCAAUGGAAAGGAUAAGUGCAAGGCUAUAUUAGCACUAAGCGAGUUAGAGGAACUUGUAAAAAUUUAACGCUUGUGUGUGUGAUUUCAUAUGUAUUGUCACAAUGAAUAAUUUGUUCAAGGCUCUCUACUUACUUGGAAUUUCAAUAAUACUUUAUGAGAUUUACACUAUGGUUAGAUUCAAAUCGAAAGAUAUCUAAUUCUUAUACAUGAUGUUGAUGUUUGAUUAUAUGAUUAAUGUUGAUUUUGAGCAAGUGGGGGAUUGCUGAAAUCUUGUUCAAAAUCUAGAGAAUAGAUGAAUGAAUUGGAGAAGAAAACAAAAGCGAAAUUCUGCCAAGAAAAUUGGCCUAUGCAUGGUCUAUGCGGUCACAUAAGACCAUGCAGAGAUUUUGGUGACUGCAAAUGUUAUAACUAUAUGACCGCAUAGUUAUAGCCUAUACGGUUGCAUAGUGUAAAUAAUAUGAUCGUUGUGGCCAUUUUUUACCCUUUUUGGUUUAAAUUUGGUGGCCUUUCAUCCUAAUUUCGGCACCACUUCAUGUGAACUUGGCCUAUAUAGGUGAUUAAAGUUCGAGGCAACAACAAUGAAAAACAUAUGAGAAAAUCAUUCCUAGUUCAUCUGAAAUUCUGUAGAAGUCUAUUUACAUAGCCCCUGUUUGAGCCUCAUUAAUUUUCAUUAUAUUACAUUUCAUUUUUCUCUCUCCUAUUUCAACCACACAAUCUUCCAUAAAAUAAUAUUACACGUAAAUCGAAAAAGUUUUCCUUCUUUUUCAACCACUCAUUUUUCAAAAAAAUAUUAUUCCACCCAUAAAUUUUUCCAUGUAAUGGGGGCCAAACAAGGGCAUAAUCAAACUCUUUCUUUUCACCCAUUCAUUUGAAGAAAUACUUUUUCUUUUUGCGUUUUUUCAUUAAGGCUUGUUUAAUUCUUCAAACUAUUUGUUCAUAAAUCCCUAAAAGCAUUGUAGAUGAGGCAAAUAUGGUUUAAGGACAACGAUACAUUCUUUGUGCUCAAGCGUUUGCCAGAUUUUAUAUUCAUUUUUUUCUUCAUCUUUGUUUUCCAUUACUGGAAUAUUUUUAUUUAUACCAAGCAUGUCUUUGCAAAUAUUUGUCCUUCCAAAAUUACAUUGUAUUCGACUUAAAAGGAUCAAUUGAAUACCUUAACGAUUUUGGCAAAUGUCCCCAAUGACCUUCCCAUGAAAAUCCCUACAUAUGACUCCCACCCCGUAAUAAACUCUAUUUCUUCAUGGACUACUACGUCAACAUUAAGCUUAAGGGAGUUCUAAUAUGGAGGCACCCAUCUUCUAUUCUUGAAAGACAUAUUAGUCACUUUUUGCAUACCUUGGAAUUCAACCAUAAAAGCUGUUGGGUUGUGUGCUCUAAUGAUAUAUUUUGCAUGAUAAAAUAUAAAUGUAUAAUAAAUAAAUUGUGAUUUCAUUUAUUUAUUGUAUUUAUUUUUUAUUAAGUAUGCGAAUUAAAAUGCCUAUUAUCGCUUUUGAUAAUAUAAGUUGGGUACUUGAGUCGAGAAGUACACUGUGAUACAACUUAUAUUUUGAUUAUAAAUAAUUUGUUCACAGCCAAUGAUAAGGGUUGGCACCUUAUACUUGAAGAUUGUAGUGUUAACCGAUUCAGAUUUGUGACUUGUUCUUAUCACAGAAAUAGUUAAAGGUGACACUAGUACAUUUGGAGUCUAUUGAAUGGACCAUGUGUCGACUUUAAUUCUAUAGCAUCAUCGUGCAGAAGAUUAAAUUCCACUUGAUCGUCGUGUAUUUCAUCUAAAUCAUUUGACAUGUUUAUGCUUGUCUUUUCAUAAAUUUAAUGGUUUUAUUUAUUUAUCAACAUCUAAGAUCAAUUUGGUUGAUCAAAUAUCUUAAUGAGUUGAGAACUUGAGAACGAGUGAAAUAGUGAACAUGAAUUCAUGCCGAGAAGCAUCACCCUAAAAAAUGGAUAGAAUGACUGUUUAAGUAUUUUCUGUUGAACGAUUAAAAUCUAAGCUCAAUUUUAGCGAUGUCAAAAUUUUAACAUCUCUGAUUAGUUCAUAGGACUACUGAAAAAAAUGGUACUUAAGUUAGUGAGAAUAAUUAAAAGAGCAAAAUGGUCAUUUAUGCUCGUACAUAUUAUCAAAUCUCGGACGGUGAUAAAAAUAUAUAUACGAUGGGUCAGAGGAAAGCAUUACAAAUUUAUUGGCUUCUAUGAUCUUAUAUAUUGAAGAGUUCAAUCUUUUGCCUUUAGUGGAAUAAACAAAGACUAAUUAUUAGAUUGGAUGGUCUACGAUCGACUUAACAAGAUCUAAUUAUUUGAGCUUGAAUAACAUAUGUUCGAUCAGGUCCUCGUGGUAGCUCUAUUAGGUAUUCGACUUAAUUGUGGUAAUUAUAAUUGUUUUGGACUUAAUUGUAAUUACAAUAAAGUUUUAUACUUAGUUUAGUUAUUAUGAAAGUUGUAAGCUUAAUUAUAAUUGUAAUUGAAGUUCUAAGACUAAAUGUAAACUAAUUGGAUGUGAACUUUAAUUAAGACUCCUAUUUUAAUGUGGAAUUAUUAUUGUAUAAUGAUUGAAACAAUUCUAGCUCUAUAAAUAGAGACCAGAUAGAGCCAAUUUUUUUUUAUAACAAUCAUAAUACAUAAUUUCAUGGCAUUCAAAUUUGGAGAGAGAUAAAGAGAGAAAAUAAUUAUUUUCUUUCUGUUAUUUUAUGUCCAGUCCAAGAAUUAGUUUCUUGAUUUAAUUAAAAAAAGGAGCCUACCCACUAGGGUAGUUUUGACUUUGAAGAAUACCAUAGAAGACCUAAAGGUUUGAAGUAUGAAGUUCUUGCAAUUUAAAGGUUGGAAGCUCAUGAUCCAAAAAGUUGGAAAUUCGUGAUUCAAAAUUAAUUCAAGAAUAAAUUUUUGAAUUUAGGUAAAAAUUUGAAUAAUUUAUUCUUGAUAUAACAUACAUAUGAACAUCUAGGCGAUCUUAUUUAUUAGAUUAAAUAAAUUAUUUAAUUUCUAAGUAAUUUUGCUUCCACAUUCCAACAACUGGUGUUAGAGCAAUCUAGAUCAUUCACAUGCUUGUUAUUUCUGAAUCUGGAUUGCAUGAUUUAAGUUUUAGCAAUGUCUAGGAAUAUUUUACUAUGUGUUGAUUGAAUUAUUUUAAAAUGUGUACCAAUUAUUUUUGGCAAGUUCUUGAUUGUACGUAAUUUGUUAUAUUGAUUUUGUAACAAGAUAAGUGGAUUACGACUCCAUCAUCUUGAUUUAAUUUUCUUUCAAUUAGAUUCAAAAUUGUGAGCUUGUGAAACAUAUGAUUUAUGUAAUUAUUCAAUUCUUGGAAUUGUUGGAUCUUGUAAAUCGAUUGAAGAUUUAGGACAAAACGAUGAAGAAGCAUUCAAGAAUUAAAGCAAAAAAAAUUAAAUUUUUUAUGCCGAUAGCUGUUGUUGCCCAAGCGACAACUUGUUGCAUUUACCAUUGUAAAUUUUUUUACUUUGAUUUGAUUUUUUUUUUUUGGGCGAUUUAGGUCAAAUUUGAAUAUGUUGAAUUCAAUAUUAAUUAAUUAAUUUUUUUUACAGGUACGAUGGUGGAGUCCUAUUGUUAUUUGGAUUAUUACUGUCGAAACUUUGAAAAUUUUUGG